CUAAAAUUGAAGUUCACCAAAGCAUGGCUGUCUUUUCUCAUGUUACCACUACCACUUGAUGUGUACAAGGAGGUCCUUGCUUCAAUUCAUCAAAAUGUCAUUCCUUCAAUGUCAAACCCUUCCAUCUUAUGUGAUUUCUUGACUAGAUCAUAUGGUAUUGGUGGUGUUAUCAGUGUAAUG